GACGAACGCUGGCGACGUGCCUAAUACAUGCAAGUAGAACGCUGAAGAGAGGUGCUUGCUCUUCUUGGAUGAGUUGCGAACGGGUGAGUAACGCGUAGGUAACCUGCCUUGUAGCGGGGGAUAACUAUUGGAAACGAUAGCUAAUACCGCAUAACAAUGGAUGACACAUGUCAUUUAUUUGAAAGGUGCAAUUGCUUCACUACAAGAUGGACCUGCGUUGUAUUAGCUAGUAGGUGAGGUAAUGGCUCACCUAGGCGACGAUACAUAGCCGACCUGAGAGGGUGAUCGGCCACACUGGGACUGAGACACGGCCCAGACUCCUACGGGAGGCAGCAGUAGGGAAUCUUCGGCAAUAGGGGAAAGCCUGACCGAGCAACGCCGCGUGAGUGAAGAAGGUUUUCGGAUCGUAAAGCUCUGUUGUAAGACAAGAACGGGUGUGAGAGUGGAAAGUUCACAAUGUGACGGUAGCUUACCAGAAAGGGACGGCUAACUACGUG
rnacentral:rRNA from 1 species